CCUGGUUGAUCCUGCCAGUAACAUAUGCUUGUCUGAAAGAUUAAGCCAUGCAUGUCUACGUACACAUGGCUGGUACAGUGAAACUGCGAAAGGCUCAUUAAAUCAGCUAUGGUUCCUUUGGUCGCUUGCUCCUGUCCUACUUGGAUAAUUGUGGUAAUUCUAGAGUUCAUCCAUGGCGACGGGUGCUGACCUCCUUCGCGAGGGGAUGCGUGCAUUUAUCAGACCAAAAGCAACCCGGUGAGCUCCUCCCCGGCCCCGGUCCGGGGUGGGGGGCGGCAGCUUUGGUGACUCUAGAUAACCUCGGACUAGUCGCAUGCCUCCCGUGGCAGCGAUGACCCUUUCGAACGUCUGUCGUAUCAACUUUCGACGGUAGUCGCGGUGCCUACCAUGGUGACCACAGAUGACGGAGAAUCCGUGUUCGAUUCUGGAGAGGGAGCCUGAGAAUCACCUACCUNUAUCAACUUUCGACGGUAGUCGCGGUGCCUACCAUGGUGACCACAGAUGACGGAGAAUCCGUGUUCGAUUCUGGAGAGGGAGCCUGAGAAUCGCCUACCUCAUUGAAGGAAGGCAGCAGGCGGGCAAAUCAGCCACUCCCGACCCGGGGAGGUAGUGACGAAAAAUAAUACAGGAGUCUUUUGAGGCCCUGUCAUUGGAAUGAGUCCACUUUAAAUCAGUCAUAAAGGAUGCCUAUUGGUCAUGUGGUGUCAUUAUUCCCAUGACCUGCCAGGCAUCUUCUGGGAAACCAAAGUCUUUGGGUUCCUGGGGGAGUAUGGUUGCAAAGCUGAAACUUAAAGGAAUUGAAGGAAGGGCACCACCAGGAGUGGAGCCUGCGGCUCAAUUUGACUCAACACGGGAAACCUCACUUGGCCCGGACACGGACAGGAUUGACAGAUUGAUAGCUCUUUCUCGAUUCUGUGUGUGGUGGUGCAUGGCCGUUCUUAGUUGGUGGAGCGCUUUGUCUGGUUAAUGCCAAUAGCGGACGAGACUGUGGCCUGCUAAAUAGUGUACGCGAGCCCUGAGCGGUCGGUGUCUGCCAACUUCNGUGUCAUUAUUCCCAUGACCUGCCAGGCAUCUUCUGGGAAACCAAAGUCUUUGGGUUCCUGGGGGAGUAUGGUUGCAAAGCUGAAACUUAAAGGAAUUGAAGGAAGGGCACCACCAGGAGUGGAGCCUGCGGCUCAAUUUGACUCAACACAAUAAACCUUACCUGGCCCGGACACGGACAGGAUUGACAGAUUGAUAGCUCUUUCUCGAUUCUGUGUGUGGUGGUGCAUGGCCGUUCUUAGUUGGUGGAGCGCUUUGUCUGGUUAAUGCCAAUAGCGGACGAGACUGUGGCCUGCUAAAUAGUGUACGCGAGCCCUGAGCGGUCGGUGUCUGCCAACUUCUUAGAGGGACUAGUGGCGUUCAGCCACCCGAGAUUGAGCAAUAACAGGUCUGUGAUGCCCUUAGAUGUCCGGGGGUGCAUGCACGGUACACUGAGUGGCUCAGUGUGUGUCUACUCUAUGCUGGCAGGCGGGGGAACCCAUUGAACCCCAUUCGUGAUGGGGAUCGGGGAUUGCAAUUAUUCCCCAUGAGUGAGGCAUUCGCAGUAAGUGCGGGUCAUCAGCUUGCGUUAAGUCCUUGCCGUUUGUACACACUGUCCAUUGCUAUUACUGAUUGGAUGGUGUAGUGAGGCCCUCUCAUAUGCCCCGGUGGGGUCAGCCCACGGCCCUGGCGGAGACCUGAGAAGAUGUUCAAACUUGACUAUCUAGAGGAAGUAAAAGUUGUAACAAGGUUUUCCAAAGUGAACCUGUGGAAG
rnacentral:rRNA from 1 species